rnacentral:rRNA from 1 species
GAUGAACGCUGACAGAAUGCUUAACACAUGCAAGUCGACUCGAGAGUACUUCGGUACUGAUAGGGUGGCGCACGGGUGAGUAACACGUGAAUAACCUGCCUCUAAGACUGGGAUAACUAAUCGAAAGGUUAGCUAAUACCGGAUAAGCUCACGGUACCGCAUGGUACAGGGAGAAAAACUAUAAGUACUUAGAGAGGGGUUCGCGUCCCAUUAGCUAGUUGGUGAGGUAAAGGCUCACCAAGGCGACGAUGGGUAGCCGGCCUGAGAGGGUGGACGGCCACAAGGGAACUGAGACACGGUCCUUACUCCUACGGGAGGCAGCAGUGGGGAAUAUUGGACAAUGGGCCAUGAGCCUGAUCCAGCAAUUCUGUGUGGACGAAGAAGGUUUUCGGAUUGUAAAGUCCUUUCAGUAGGGAAGAAAAAAAUGACGGUACCUACAGAAGAAGCACCGGCUAAUUAUGUG